UUAGCUUAAUGGUCAGAGCAAUCAAACGUAAAUUGAUAGAUCGGGGUUCAAGUCCC
rnacentral:tRNA from 12 species